CAAUUUUUCUUCCGUUGUUCACUGGCGCAUCGGAAGAACGGAAAACUACGGAGCAGUUCGGUGCCACCGUCUUCCAUUUUCGGCUCAUGAUCGGCGGCGAGUCUCGCGCAAUGCACUGAUCCGUCAAUGCAGGGCAGGGUGUCGAUACGUGGUGUUGAUGUUACGUUGCUGGUAAUAUCAAAGCUGCAAAAUUUUCAAUAGAAUCGAUAUGGCGCCGUUUGCUAAACCAGAGAAUGCUUUGAAGAGGGCUGAAGAGUUAAUCAAUGUUGGACAGAAACAAGAAGCUCUUCAAUCUCUUCAUGCACUGCUCACCUCAAGGAGGCAUCGUGCGUGGCAGAAAACACUUGAAAGAAUUAUGUUCAAAUAUAUUGAACUUUGUGUUGAAAUGAGAAGAGGUCGGUUUGCCAAGGAGGGUUUAAUCCAGUACCGAAUAGUAUGUCAGCAAGUUAAUGUUAGUUCUCUAGAGGAGGUCAUAAAGUUCUUUAUUCAUCUUUCAACUGAGAGAGCUGAGCAAGGUCGUAAUCAGGCAGAGGCUUUGGAGGAUGCUCUUGAUGUUGAUGACUUGGAAGCUGAGAAAAGACCCGAAGAUCUUAUGUUGAGUUAUGUGAGUGGUGAGAAAGGAAAAGAUAGAUCUGACCGUGAACUUGUGACACCUUGGUUCAAGUUCUUGUGGGAAACAUAUCGAACAGUUCUUGAAAUAUUGCGAAACAACUCAAAGUUGGAAGCACUUUAUGCGAUGACUGCUCACCGGGCCUUCCAAUUCUGCAAACAAUACAAGCGUUUGACAGAAUUUCGCCGCCUGUGUGAAACCAUCAGGAACCAUCUGGCAAACCUCAUUAAGUAUAGAGAUCAAAGGGAUCGCCCUGACCUGUCAGUCCCUGAGAGCCUGCAGUUGUAUCUCGACACAAGAUUUGAACAGCUUAAGGUUGCAACUGAGCUCGAACUCUGGCAGGAAGCUUUUCGAUCAGCAGAAGAUAUACAUGGAUUGAUGUGCAUCGUUAAGAAACAACCAAAAACAUCUUUGAUGGUCGUGUACUAUGCCAAGUUGAUAGACAUAUUCUGGACCUCCUCUGGUUAUUUGUAUCACGCAUAUGCGUGGUCUAGGCUUUUUGCUCUUUUAAAAAGUUUCAACAAGAACCUGACUCAGAAGGAUCUGCAAUUGACAGCAUCUUCUGCCGUCCUUGCUGCACUUUCAGUCCCUCUCUACGAUCAUACACGAGGAGCAUCUCAUAAGGAGCUUGAACAUGAGAAAGAGCGCAGCUUCAGGAUGUCAAAUCUUAUAGGGUUUAUUCUUGACCCGAAGACUGAAGGUAGAGAUAUGCUUUCACGGUCCUCAAUUCUAACUGAACUGUUCUCAAAAGGUGUUAUGGCCUGUGUGACAUAUGAAGUUAAAGAACUAUAUAAUCUCUUGGAGAACGAGUUUCUUCCUCUGGAUUUAGCAUCAAAAGUGCAGCCCCUUUUGACCCGGAUAUCUACAGUUAAGGGUAAGAUAGCCUCUGCAUCGUCCAUAUCAGAAGUGCGACUCUCUCAGUACAUUCCAAACAUAAAAAAACUAGCUGCUUUAAGGGUGCUGCAACAGGUCUCUCGAGUCUAUCAGACUCUGAAAAGUGAGACUUUAUCUCAAAUGAUCCCAUUCUUUGAGUCUCAUGUGGUGGAGAAAAUUCUGGUGGAUGCUGUCAAGCAAAAUUAUGCUUCAAUGAAAGUUAAUUAUGUGAAGGGUGCUAUCAUAGUUGGUAAUCAAGAUCUCGAAUCUGAGGGCUUGCGUGGCCAGUUGAUGAUUUUUACCGAAUCAUUAAACAAGGCAAGAGGGAUGGUAUAUCCCGCUGCAGUAAAAGAAUCAAAGUUAGGAGAAAUGCUGCUUCAUUUGAAUGAUACUGUUGAAAAGGAACACAAGAGACUUCUUGCUCGGAAGUUGAUAAUUGAGAAAAGGAAGGAAGAACAGGAACGUAAACUCCUUGAGAAGGAGCGUCAAGAAGAAUCGGAAAGGCUAAAGGUACAGAAGUUAACCGAGGAGGCUGAACAAAAAAGACUUGCCAUUGAGUUUGAGCAGAUGAGAGCCGAGAGAAUCCACAGAGAAAUAGAGGAAAGGGAAUUAGAAGAGGCACAGGCUAUGCUUCAGGAGGCCGAAAAGCAUGGCAAAAGGAAAGGGAAGAAGGCAAUAGCAGACAGGGAGAAAGUAACGAAACAGUCUUUGAUGGAGCACGCUUUGAAUAAGCAAAUGAAAGAGAGAAUGGAGGCUCAGAAAAAACUGCAGAAACUCUCCAAAAGUCUUGAUUAUUUGGUGCGAGCAAUGAGAGAAGAAGAAGCGCCUUUGAUCAACGCCGCCUACCAGAAGCGUAUGGAGGAAGAAAAGGUGCUCGAUGAACAUUUGCAGCAGAAAGAGAUUGAAUUGAGCAGACAGCGUCACGAGGGAGAUCUUAAGGAGAAAACUAGGCUCCAAAGGAUGCUGGAUGACAAGUUGGCUUUCCAGGAAAGAGCAAUCCAGGGCCGAAAAGAUGAACAUAAGAGAAUGAAAGCCGAGAGAGAGAAGCGCUUCCAGAAAGUUAUUCUCGGCUGGAAGCAGGAGAGGGAAGAAAAGCGGAAGCUGGUGUUCUAUUUGAGAUCGGAAGAGGAAAGACAGAGAAAGCUACACGAGGAAGAAAAAGCUCGCAAGCGGGAAGAGGAAGAAAAGAGAAAGAAAGAAGAAAUGGAUCGCAAGGCAAAGCUCGACGAAAUAGCCGAGAAGCAGAGGCAGAGAGAACGAGAACUGGAAGAACGGGAAAGACAGAGGCGCGAAGCUAUCUUAGGGCGAUCCUCCUUGUCCUCGUCCACCGACAAGGACAAGGAGAAUCCUCUCCUUCUUCAGCCUGAGAAUGGAGCAGCUGCCGCUGCCACCACCACCGGUGGUGGUAAGUAUGUGCCUAAAUUUAAGCAGCGGCUUGGAAUGUCGCCGUCAUCAGGGAAGGUGGAGGGGGACAGGUGGGGCAGUAGUAGUAGUAGUAGCCAGAAAGCUUCCCUGCAGACAGAUGACGGCGGCAAUAGGUGGCGGUCCGGCAGCAGCUCCGCCUCGAGGUGGACUUCGUCGUCUUACAACAAACGUUGAACGUAUGCAGGAUCAGCAGCUACAUGAUUAAUCAGUGUAGAUAGAGAUAACAAUUAUAUGAGAUCGACAACAAGAUCUGAGCUCGCUACAAAGAACACAUUACAACUUUUCUAGUCUUCAAUUUUACCCGAGUUGAAAGAUUGCCGGAUAUUUUAUGACCUCGGAAAAGCUUGGAAGUAAAGAUGAUCAGAAAGGUUAUGUGCAGAUAAGGUACCUCUCAGCAAGCAUAGCAGAUCCUUCCUCAAAAAGUUCCUCAACAACUCCGACUGCGGACAGCUUAUUUGAUCCUUUGGGAGAAUUGGGAUACCG